UGAGUGAUGAAGGCCUUCGGGUUGUAAAACUCUUUCGACGGGGACGAUAAUGACGGUACCCGUAGAAGAAGCUCCGGCUAACUUCGUGCCAGCAGCCGCGGUAAUACGAAGGGGGCUAGCGUUGUUCGGAAUUACUGGGCGUAAAGCGCGCGCAGGCGGCUUUUCAAGUCAGUGGUGAAAGCCUGGAGCUCAACUCCAGAACUGCCAUUGAAACUGCUAAGCUUGAGUACGAGAGAGGUGAGUGGAAUUCCCAGUGUAGAGGUGAAAUUCGUAGAUAUUGGGAAGAACACCAGUGGCGAAGGCGGCUCACUGGCUCGUAACUGACGCUCAGGCGCGAUAGCGUGGGGAUCAAACAGGAUUAGAUACCCUGGUAGUCCACGCCGUAAACGA
rnacentral:rRNA from 1 species